rnacentral:rRNA from 1 species
CAAACUGGAGAUGGCGACCGGCGCACGGGUGAGUAACACGUAUCCAACCUGCCGAUAACUCGGGGAUAGCCUUUCGAAAGAAAGAUUAAUACCCGAUGGCAUAAUAGAACCGCAUGGUUUGAUUAUUAAAGAAUUUCGGUUAUCGAUGGGGAUGCGUUCCAUUAGGCAGUUGGUGGGGGUAACGGCCCACCAAACCUUCGAUGGAUAGGGGUUCUGAGAGGAAGGUCCCCCACAUUGGAACUGAGACACGGUCCAAACUCCUACGGGAGGCAGCAUG